rnacentral:lncRNA from 1 species
CUGAAAUUUAAGCACACUUUAACCAUUUCGCCACCGUUUCAGGUAAUUUGUUUUACAUAUAUAUACAUUUUUUUUGCCUUUAAGAGAUUCACUCUUAACCAAUCGUUUUUUUUUCAGGUUUUCUCAUUAUGGACUAAGAAGGCAUUGCCGAAAAUGUUAAAAAUGAUCUCAUUUUAACAUCUUUAACUAGGCUAUCGCAUAUAAAACAAUUCAAAUGCACAUAGAAUCUCCACUAUUUGCGAUUCGAUUCCGAAAACUUUACAUUUACUUUUAAAAAUUAAAGUGUCAUGCUUGACUGUCUGAAAGUCAUAAAAACAAUCAUUUGGAAAUAGCAUUUAUGUAUAUAAUCUGACUAAUAUAACGAUCGAUUUACUUGUCUUUAAAUAUGAGACUAAUGAGAAGCGCAGUCACAUUCUAAACAUUCCUGUCAGCGGUUUAAAACUUGGUUGUCAAGAAAAAAACUAUUAUUCGGGAAACUUAUCUAACAAACGUUGAUAUAGAACUCAAUUGUUCCAAUACGAAGAUAUGAACAGAAUGAGAAAUAAUAUUGUUUUCAUUUAGAAAAUAUCAACCAAAACCAAAACGAGAAAGGGGUGUUGCUAAGAUGCAACAAACAAAGUAUGCAAAUAAAAGAUGAAGAAAUUUCAAACCAUACAGCAAGCCAUGAAAACGUAUGAAACAGUUCAAAAGAGAAACACAACAGCCUGACCAAAACCACAUCAAUAAAAAAAACACGAUAGGCAGCAAACAUUCGUCAACCACCGGGCCACACUCUCCUGGUCUGGGACAUCUAUACUAUAAAACGAGAAGACCUCAUUUUGUGUGUCGCUUCUCUUUCUUCCACAAUCUAUACUAUUAAACGAGAAGACCUCAUUUUGUGUGUCGCUUCUCAUCCUUCCACAAUAAAUUAAUCAGCAUGCCUCUGUGUCCUAUAGGUAUCAUGUAUUGUCGCAUUUGUCAUCCAUUCUUAUGAUUGUUCAGUUUGGGCUGGGAACAGUAUAUCUCAAUAUAUCAUAAAAUUGAGAAAGGAAAUGGUGAAUAUGUCAAAGCGACAACCACCCGACCAUAGAGCAAACAACAGCCGAAGGCAACCAAUGGGUCUUCAAUGUAGCGAGAAUUUCCGCACCCGUAGGUGUCCUUCAGCUGGCCCCUAAAAUAUGCAUAAUAGUAGUGACAAUGGACGUCAUACUAAACUCCGAAUUAUACACAAGAAACUAAAAUUUAAAAUCAUACAAGACUAACAAAGGUCAGAGGCUCCUGACUUGGGACAGGCGCAAAAUUGCGGCGGGGUUAAACAUGUUUAUGAGAUCUCAACCCUCCCCCUAUACCUCUAGCCAAUGUAGAAAAGUAAAAGAAUAACAAUACGCACAUUAAAAUUCAGUUCAAGAGAAGUCCGAGUCCGAUGUCAAAAGAUGUAACAAAAGAAAACAAACAAAAUGACAAUAAUACAUAAACAACAACAGACUACUAGCAGUCAACUGACAUGCCAGCUCCAGACCUCAAAUAAACUGAUUGAAAGAUUAUGUCUUCAUCAUAUGAAUAUCAGGUACAAUCCCUCCCGUUAGGGGUUUAGUAUCAUACUAUCAUAAAAUAUAUGAGAAGAACACAACCCGUGUCAUGCCAACAACUGUUUUUUUUAGAAAUAAAUGUGUUUAGUUCCGAUGCAAAGACCCUAUCAGUGAAUCAAUGUUAAAGCCAAAAUAUGCAAUCUUUAAUGACCUGACAACAGUAUCGUAACUAUAUCCCCUUUUAAUAAGUCUAUUUAAAGGUUUUGUUAGUUUCUGAGGAGAAUACUGACAUUUUUGUGCUUUAUAAAGAAUAUUUCCAUAAAAUUUUGGAUGUGAAAUACCUGAACGUAUAAGAUGUCUGCAUGUUGAGUUAUAUUUACGAAUUAUUUCCUUAUACCGGUGAUAAAAUUUAGUAAAUGUUUUGACCAGUUUGUGAUAUCGAAAACCCUGGUGUAAUAAUUUCAAUAUAUAUGUUCCUGGUUUGGGUUAUUUUGGAAAAAAAAAACGAAAAAAACUGCGUCCGGAUAUUUUCCCGUCAUUGGACGAAAUUUUAAGUCAGACUAGACAUCCGGUUUUUUCUUCUUCUGUACUUUGUACAUACCAAAGACUAUGAUCAUUUUCAAGUUUACCAUCCACGGCGGUCACUGAGUUUAUUAAAUAGAGAGGGUCUUUAUAAUAUGUCAAUUAUGCAUGACCGCCGUGGAUGGAUAAGUAAAUUGAGAGUUGAUAGUAAAAAGCAAAUACACUUGAUUCAUAGUAAUGUAUGUUCAUGAUAUACAGAUAAACGCUAACAUUAUUAAAAUCAAUAGAGAAAAAAAUUAUAGGAGUUUUGGAGGAAAAAAAUAACAGCCGGGUUAGAAUUAACAAUUGGCAUGUCCCAAAGUACCUAUAACUUUUGAUACCUUUUUUGAAAUUUUUCAGUCAUAAAAUCUUUUACAAAAAUUCAUCGGGUCACUAAGUAUAUUACAUAGAGAGGGUCUAUAUAAUAUAUCAGUGACCGCCGUGAAUUGAUUAAUUAACUAAGAAUUGAUAGUAAAAAGCAAACACACUUUAUUUAUAGUAAUGUAUGUUCAUAACAUACUAAACGUAUGUUCAUAUUGAAAUAAGUAGAAAACACAAAAAAAAAAAAAUGGAAAUUUUGGGAAAAAAGCAGAAGGGGUUGAAAAACAAUUGUCCUGUCCUCAAGUACCUAUAACUUUUAUUACCUUUCCUGAAAUUCUCCAGUCAUUAUUUUUUUUACAAAAAUUCAUCCUACAACACUUUACAUAGUUUUCAACCACGCUCUGGAUGCCCGCGAUUUCGAUUGGGUUAUUUUGAGAGGAAAACGAAAAUAUAGGCGUCCAUAUAUUGUUUCCAUCAGCAGACUGACUUUUUGAGAAAUAUAAAAGACUGCCGCUGCCCUAUAGGCCUGUUUUGAAAUUAAACAUAAUUUGGAUAAGUAUUUGGGACAGAACCUGAAUUAUUUUUUGCGUUUUUCUGUAUACUAUGAUCAUACAUAUACUAUAGAUACAUGUAAAGUGUAUUUGAUAUUUAUAUAUAUUAUCAAUUCCAAUAGUUUUCUAUCCACGGCUGUCACUGAAAUAUUUCUGUAUACUACAUACAUAUACAUACACUAUGAAUAAAUUGUAUAAAUUUGCUAUAAUUUACUAUAAAUUCCAAUAGUUUACUGGGGUGACUUUUAAUAUAUCAGUGACCGUUUUAUAUAGUAAAAUAUGUUCAUAGUAUACAGAAAAACAGAAAGAAUAAAAAACGGUCUUUUGAAAAAAGGGGGAGGGCAAAAAAAAAUGUACCCAGUCCCCAAGUACCUUUGAAUUUUGAUACCGCUCCUGGAAUUCUCCGGUUAUAUUUUUACAGUUUACAUACGCUCUAUUUCCCCGUGAUUUCGCGGGUGUGUUCUAGUAUACCUAAAAAUACAUUUGUAUGCAAAAUAUUGUGGCGCACGUCCAAUCUUACAAAACGUGGGGCAGAAUUGCAUCAUCACCAUCACAACACAGGAACAAGUGAUAAAGAUAAGUUGGAAAUGUAACGACAACGUAAAGUUUGGAAUAUAUAUUUUAAGCGUCCGAAGCGUUUUUCCUAGAUUUACAUUUACCACGAACGCUCAAAGCCGAAUAUUUGAAAGCCAAUGAUAUACAAGAGUUGAAUGUAUGAUAUCAAGUGAUUAAAUGUGCUCACAAACCAACAACAGCGACCUUUAACUUCAGUAUAUAUGAACAUUUCCUAUACCCUACGUACAUUUUGAGGAAAUACUUACUUUGCUUAUUGACUUCCGUACAUGUGUAUAAGUAUUACAAGAAGUAUAACAUUAAGCUCUCUUGGUUACCGCGAUUUACUUGUCUUCAAACAUAAGACUCGGCGGUUUAAAACUUGUUUGUUUGUCUAGAAAAAAGAAACUAUUCGUGAAACUUGUCAAUCAAAUUUUGCUAUAAACUCAAUUGUUCCAAUACGAAAAUAUUCAAAGAAGGAGAAAUAAUAUUUGUUUCGUAAUAAUUUCAAAAUUGAUGAACAGAAAUUUAAAUCAGAAGUUGUUAUAAAUCAUUUCAGUAUCGAAGUCCAAUAACUGACUACUGAGCGAUUGAAACCCUCGGGUACUGAUAGUCAACCACCAAAUACAUAUCCGAUAGCCUAUUGUUUAACUUUUAGCAAAAGGAAUUUAGAGUGUUGUUUGAACAAGUAUAGGAAAGAAGAAAUUUAAGAAUCAGUUCAUAUACCAGCUGCCGGGAAAGGAAAACAAAUGGGCAUUCUACAUUUUGUGGUUAUUUUAUUGACAAUUUAUAUGACAGAACAAACGACUUCAUAUCCUUGUGGUGAGUAAAUAUAUACAGGUAGCUACUGGUAACGUUUUUUUGUGACACUAUGGAAAUUAUGGAAAUAUGUAAGAUUUAGGUAAACAAGACAAUAGUCCCACAAAACAAUUUAACAAAACUUAAGGUAAAAAAGUAGUUUUCAAAAAUAGCCAAGUGCUCAUACUUUAGGUGUAGAAAAAGAGGUGGAAUACUCUUAUAAGUCAACGAGAAAAUGUCAAAGCCAUGACAAUAAAAAAAAAUCGAUGAAACGACAACAAAGUUCACAAUAGUUAUCAAAGGUACUCAUCAAUGACGCUUAAAUUAAAAUAGUUAGAAAGCCAAACAAGUACAAAAUCGAAGAGCAAUGAGGACCCAAAAUUCCAAAAAGUUGUACCAAAUACGGCUAAGGAAAUCUAUAACUGGGAUGACAAAACUUUACAACAGAAGACGCAGCAACACAAACAAGCUCAAAAAGGCAGAUGUCAUAAAAAAAAUACUGCUUCGGCAAUUUUCUACUUUUUGGUGGGGUUGUUGCCUCUUUGACACAUUCCCCAUUUCCGUUCUAUAUUUUGUUAUCGACGUAUCAAAUUAUCUCCUAGUGUAUUUAAUGUUAAUUUAAAAAGGUAUGAUUCCUCAUAAAAAACCGAACUCGUAUUCAUCUGAAUAUUUUCGUUUCUUUCCACAUGAAACACAGUCACGUGGAAACACUUUCAAUACAAGAAAGAGUUGGAGCCGUCCACAUUUACGUUUAGAGAAAGUUAUUUGAUUCAAUUAAUCUGACGGUAAUUAUUUACUUGUGAAAAACAAAUCUUGAAUUAUACACAAAUACAAAAUGGUGAUUUACCCUAAUGUCUCACAUUUUCUAUAUAGUUUUGAAGUUCUUUUAAACAAUUUUUCAUAGUUUUGCAUCAGUGACUAGAAUGUAUCUGGUGCCGACAAAUUGUUACCAUCAAUGAUUUAAAUGUAUUCACAAAUAAAUCAUUACGUUCGUUGUAUGUGAAUCACUUCUGCAUGGCCUGGUGCAAAGGGGGCUAAUGAGUCGGACUUCAUCAAGAAAGAAAAAAAACAUGGUACGGACUCUUAGGUCUGUCUUGAGAAAAAGAGAAACGGGAAUAUAGGAUUGCGUUAACAGACGUAUUAGAACAAUGAUAUGAUUGUUAUGAUUUUAGUACAUAAUUUUAUAUCCAUUUUAUAUACUAGAACAUUUCAUUUAAGGCAACCAGGCAGAUAUUUCAUUUGGGUUUGGACUCAAAAGGGUUACAAGUGAAAGAUUGAAUUAUUUAAAAGAGAAAGUAAGUGAAUUAUAUACAUAGAUAUAGAAAGAUGUGGUAUGAGUGCCAAUGAGACAACUCUCCAACCAAGUAACAAUUUAUAAAAGUAAACCAUUAUAGGUCAAGGUGCAGCCUUCAACACGGAGCCGUGUCUCACACCGAACACCAAUUUAUAAAGGGCCCCAAAAAUUACUAGUGUACAACCAUUUAAACGGGAAAACCAACAGUCUAAUCUAUAUAAAAACGGGAAACGAUAAACACUUAUGAACCACAUAAACAGACGACAACCACUUAACUGAACAUCAUACAUAUUUUACAUUUGGCACAACUUUUUGUAAUUUUGGGUUCUCGAUGCUCUUCAGCUUCAUACUUGUUAAGCUUUUAUCUAUCUCGAUCUGAGAGGCACUGAUGAGUCUUAUGUAGACGAAACGUGCGUUUGGCGUAUUAAGUUAUAAGCCUGGUACCUUUGAUAACUAUUUACACAAGUAAAAUUUACUGCAUGUGCAAGUUAUAUUUUUGGCAUGCUAAUGGAUCGAAAUCAGCUUCCGAGAGUACUUUUUUAUAUAACUAAUUUUUAAAAUCGUAGGUUUCUAAAAUUCAGUCAAGCAUCCUACAUGUAUUUCAAGCUUACUUGUAAUCCGAGACGAGCUGAUAUGCCACCUGCUGAUUUUGCACUAUUAACCUGCCAAUUUUACCCCUAUGUAGAACAACUAAUGUUGUUUCCCUUUGCGCAUUUGCUCUACAAGUAGGUGAGUGAUCUACUGUGUAAUCAUAAUACCUGUCUCUCGGUCAAGCGAAGACUUGAAGCCUUAUAUAUGUCACGGGUAAAUUGUCGAUUGGAAGAUCUUCAAUGCAACACCAUAUAAAAUAGGAAUGUAUCUAAAUUAAUUGUGGAUAUUAUGAACUAUCAUCUUAAAACAAACUUAAAUCUAUUUUUCUUUUUAGAUCAAAUGUAUCGUCACAGAAAUGGAAAAAAUAAAGGAAAGAAACAGACGAGUUCAAUUUGAAAAUAAUCACUAUUAAGGAAAUUUUAAUUGUUGCAAAAAAAUAUAAGAAUGUUCAUUGUGAUAUCUAAUUUAGUACAUUGUUGGAGAGAGUAUGCGUUUAAUGUUU